rnacentral:rRNA from 1 species
GACGUAGGGGGCGAGCGUUGUCCGGAAUUAUUGGGCGUAAAGCGCGUGUAGGCGGCUCGGUAAGUCUGCUGUGAAAGUCCAGGGCUCAACCCUGGAAUGCCGGUGGAUACUGUCGAGCUCGAGUCCGGAAGAGGCGAGUGGAAUUCCUGGUGUAGCGGUGAAAUGCGCAGAUAUCAGGAAGAACACCUAUGGCGAAGGCAGCUCUCUGGGACGGUACUGACGCUGAGACGCGAAAGCGUGGGGAGCGAACAGG